UCAGUAACGGCGAGUGAAGCGGCAACAGCUCAAAUUUUAAUCUGGCCCCGUCGGGGUCCGAGUUGUAAUUUGUAGAGAGUGUUUCGGGUGAGACCACGGUCUAAGUCUAUUGGAACAUGGCGUCAUAGAGGGUGAGAAUCCCGUAUGUGACCGUGGCUCGAGCCCAUGUGAAGCCUCUUCGACGAGUCGAGUUGUUUGGGAAUGCAGCUCAAAAUGGGUGGUAAAUUUCAUCUAAAGCUAAAUACCGGCUGGAGACCGAUAGCGCACAAGUAGAGUGAUCGAAAGAUGAAAAGCACUUUGGAAAGAGAGUCAAAAAGUACGUGAAAUUGUUGAAAGGGAAGCGCUUGCAACCAGACCUGUCCGUAGGUGAUCAGCCGCUGUUCUCAGUGGUGCACUCGCUCUGCGAUCAGGCCAGCAUCGGUUCCGGCGGUCGGAUAAAGGCCCUGGGAAUGUAGCUCCCUUCGGGGAGUCUUAUAGCCCUCGGUGCAAUGCGGCCAGCCGGGACCGAGGACCGCGCUUCGGCUAGGAUGCUGGCGUAAUGGUUGUAAGCGACCCGUCUUGAAACACGGACCAAGGAGUCUAACAUCUAUGCGAGUGUUUGGGUGUCAAACCCAUGCGCGGAAUGAAAGUGAACGGAGGUGAGAACCCUUUAGGGCGCAUCAUCGACCGAUCCAGAUGUCUUCGGAUGGAUUUGAGUAUGAGCAUAGCUGUUGGGACCCGAAAGAUGGUGAACUAUGCCUGAAUAGGGUGAAGCCAGAGGAAACUCUGGUGGAGGCUCGCAGCGGUUCUGACGUGCAAAUCGAUCGUCAAAUUUGGG
rnacentral:rRNA from 1 species